AUGGACAUUCCAUGGCUUUUAUCUUCUCCUAUAGAGAAACGUGACCUUGUUGUUUUGUCCCACUGGCCUCCUGGACCAAGUUCUUCCACCAAGGAUGGCUCACCACCUCCAAAGGAUCACAGCCCAAAGUCAAAGACUGAACACAGUUCUGAUUCAGACUCCACACCAAACACCCGGACCUCAAAGACAAACAAUUCCAGAUCAUCACCUGAGGACAAAAAGCGGGGACAUUUGGACAGGAGGACAUUUAGGCCAUUUAAUUUGAUGCACGACAACCAGAGAACCGGGAGGCCAUUCAGGAGACCAGGACCAGGACCCAUGCAGGGACCAAGAUUCACUGGUGGUCCAAGGAAGACAGGCCCUGAACUGUCUGGAAAUGUUAGACGACCACUCAUGGAGAGCUUAGUGCCGCGUCCCAUCCCAUCCAGGCCAGUGUUCAGAAAAAGUCACAGUAUUAUGUCCAAAUACCGCAACAUGAGAGUGAUGCGACAGCGCGCACCAUACAGUCGAGGUCCCAACCAACAACGCUGGUGGUAACCUCUGGUCCUACAGUUGGCAGGUUUAACACUGGAAAAUGUGGGAGACACUAAUGUUUUUUGGCUGGGUGGACUGCACAAAUCCUGCGCUCCAUACAACCCAACCUGCCUGUAUAUUGUGGAAGUGUUGCUUAUAUAUAUAUUUUUUUUUUCCUCUAUGUGUGUUUCUGUUGCAUCUUUAAAUACUGCAGGACUUCAGGACGUUUGUAACAUAUGCCAUCAUAUUUUGCUGUGCUGCUUAUGCCACUGUGUAUAUGAUGAUUUGGGAGUAGCUGCUUGAGAUCUUGGCUGACUUUGUUUUACUUAAAUAUUUUAACCCUUUUUUGUUGUUUACCAGUAACAUUUCUUUUUUCUUUUUUUUUUUUUUUUUUUUUUUUAAAUUUCAGCAAGUCCAGCAUUUUAUUUAAUAUCUACCUAUCAUGUGAGGUCAAGAGUGUCGUGAAACAGUGGCUUUUUGACUGACUCUUAGCUACUACUUGUAAAACUUGUAUAAUCACUUGUUCAGUUUGUUUCAGACUUAAAAUAAAAUGGGAUUUAACAAACUCUGUUAGUUGUUUCAUUGUAAAAUGGAACUGAGAUUUCAUAAUAAAUGCAGAUGAUCACUCUUUCUGCCUUUCCUUUGUUCGGUCCUGUAUAAACACCAGCUCUAGUUCAGUCUGUUAAACACAACUCUCGCCCUCCCCCAGUGAUAUUUGUGAGGGGAGUGGUGCUAAACUUAGCCCUGACAGUACCACUCCUCAUCACAACAUACUCCGCACACCACACCGGGUUACAAUGGAUGGAGUCGAGUUACCACAGAUGCUGCUGUAUCUCAAUGUUGACGCUGACAAAACAAGGUGAGUGUAUGCACCAGGUCCUUUACAGCCACUGAUAAUAAUUUAGCAGUUGGUUUUUGUCUGUUCACUAAUGUCUGAACCUGCCACUGCUCCUUUUUGUGUGUGGGGUCGAGCAUGUGUCGCACAUUUGUUUGCUGUUGUGGCAUGAGAGAAACAGCUGCCUGUCUAGCACCCAAAUUUGGUUCUCCACACUUUUAUAUAGAAUGUCCAAACUUAAGUUGCUGUUAUAUUAUCAAGAGCACAGGUAAUGGUUAAACAAAUGUAAUGACCAUUUUUAAAAAUCAUUUCACUUUCUUAAAGGUAUAGCAUGAUGUGAGACUGUGCCGACUGGUUUUUGUUGAUACUUGCUUCACUGACUUGCUGCAAUCUGUCAUUUGUAGAUGUAGAUUUAAAGACUGCAGGUUUUUGUCUGUCUACAAUUGUAUUCCUCUCUGUCAUGAUGGGCAACUAUAGUUCAGCCCUCAUUCCUGGUAAGCCUUGCAACUGCUGCUGUUACAUCAGUUACAUUAGUUUUAAAAAAGCAAAAAAACUAGCAUGGUUGAAUGCUGUAUGUUUUAACAGUUAAGUAUUAUUACACGCUUUGUAAUCACACACAGGACAAGAUGUAGAUUUAUUACUAUAAAAUGCCCUAGAUUCUCUGUAGUCAAUGGUUUAAAUAAGAUCUGGAUAUUGCAAUGUGUGUUUUAACAUUUAUUCUCCGAUUCUCUUAAAGACACUGAAGAGUUUGUUUCAAUUGUGUCAAUGGCGGAGAAGCUGAAUGAGCAGGUAGCUCGUGCUGCAGAUGAGAGUUUACAGGCAGAGCUUCAGACUCUG
ensembl:lncRNA SH3 domain-containing kinase-binding protein 1-like